rnacentral:misc_RNA from 1 species
CAAAAUUUUAACAUCAGAAUUCAUUGAACAAGCCGUUUUAAGGCCACCCACUCUGUUCCGUGCCACCCUCAAUUUGUCUCAACUGAAACGAACGCCUGAUAUCUCGGCCAGAAAUGGCCGUUUCCAUUGAAAGCAGCGUCUGGGAUUGUGUUAUAGAGAUAACCAAGGUGGCCCAAGAGAAAGGCAGUGAUCCUUUGCUCUGGGCUCUGCAGAUAUCAUCAAAUUUAAGCUCUAGUGGAGUCCUGUUACCCUCUCCAGAGCUAGCAGAUGUGUUGGUGUCUUACAUUUGUUGGGAUAAUAAUGUGCCCAUUCUCUGGAAGUUUCUGGAGAAGGCCUUGGUGUUGAAGAUUUUGCCUCCUUUGAUGGUUCUUGCUCUUCUUUCUGACAG